CCCUUAGAUGUUCUGGGCCGCACGCGCGCUACACUGAUGAAUGCAACGAGCUCUACCCUUGACCGAAAGGCCCGGGUAAACUUGUGAAACUUCAUCGUGAUGGGGAUAGAUUAUUGCAAUUAUUAAUCUUCAACGAGGAAUUCCUAGUAAGCGCGAGUCAUCAGCUCGCGUUGAUUACGUCCCUGCCCUUUGUACACACCGCCCGUCGCUCCUACCGAUUGAAUGGUCCGGUGAGGCUUUGGGAUCUGAGCGGAAAGAGCGUUUCGCUGUUUCUGCCCGGAAAACUCAGUCGAACCUUAUCAUUUAGAGGAAGGAGAAGUCGUAACA
rnacentral:rRNA from 1 species